AGGUGAAAUACCUUUUGUUCCAUUAAUUACAUUUGUAUAAAAUAUAAGUAACAGUCUAGUUCCUGGUGCUAGUAAAAAACAAAAAUAAAAGAGAGGGAAAUAAAUAUGUUGUCCCUGAAAUUGCUUAAACUGUGCCAGCUUAGCUUGAUUAACUAAUUAUUAUGGAUCAAAAAAAAAUCUAGCUGGACACCAUGGCACACACCUAUAAUCCCAGUUAUUCAGGAGGCUGAGGAGUUCAAGUCAAGUCUGGGCAACAUAGCAAGACCCCCAUCUCUUAAAAAAAACUGAAGUUGUUAAAUCAAAUAUCAUCACUAAAAUUAAUUUUCUUUUGAACAUCACAACAGCUUUCAAUAAGUUUUAACACACCCUAAGCAUGUUAUAUUUUUCUAAAUAAUUUAACAUAUUUUUAUUCAUGUUUAAGAAAAAUAGCUAUUGUCACCCCUGAUUUUGAGAUAGACCUUGUCCAACCCAAUAUUUUUCCCUAGAUUAAGGUAUUUAUCAGAUAGCUAACUUUACAAACAAAAGUUUUAAAAUAUUUUUCAUAUCUUGCACGUAGUUAAAUAUCAACUUUUUAGUAACUUUCCAGUAAGGGCACAGAAUAUCCAGAUUCUUUGUCUAGUUCCUGGUGAUAACCACUUACAUAAUACAUUAUUAUAUCCAAUGUCACUAUGGUGUGAAGUAUUUGCCUUGCUUAUUACUCAAGGAGAGGGAAGGGUAGUCAAGGCGGAGGAAAAGAUCAUGACCAUAAACUUUCAAAAUUUCCAUCUCUAGCUUGCUAACAUAUUACCUGUUUUUCAUUUUAACUUACAUAAUAGGAGAAUAUACCAUUCCUCAUGUAUGGUAAUUGUACAUUAUUUCCUCCCACCAUCCCCUUACAUAUUGUAGAAUUAGAAAACUUGAUAUUAGACAGUGAUGGUACUAUGGAUCCCAUCAAAGGAAGACUGGGGUAAAAAUUGAAAUGCUUUUUACCCAGCUAGACUUAUUUCAUAACUAUUAUCAACAUUAACCACAAUCCUAAAGGUAGAGUUGCUAGCCCUAUACUCCAGAUGACAAAUAAUAAUAUUAAGUUUUUUAGAAGCCAGGUACCUAACAGAUUUAUAUGUAAUCUUCAACAACCCUUCAUAAUGUUUGACAUUUAUUUUUUCCCUCUACAGAUAAUGAAGCUGAGACUUUUUUUUUUUUUUUUUUUUUUUGAGACGGAGUCUCACUCUGUCGCCCAGGCUGGAGUGCAGUGGCUUGAUCUCAGCUCACUGCAAACUCCACCUCCCGGGUCCACGCCAUUCUCCUGCCUCAGCCUCCUGAGUAGCUGGGACUACAGGCACCCGCCAGCACGCCCAGCUAAUUUUUUUCUUUUUUUUUUUUCUUUUUUUUUGUAUUUUUAGUAGAGACAAGGUUCACCUUGUUAGCCAGGAUGGUCUCGAUCUCCUGACCUCAUGAUCCGCCCACCUUGGCCUCCCAAAGUGCUGGGAUUACAGGCAUGAGCCACUGCUCCCCACCAAAGCUGAGUCUUUUAAAGCUGAAAUGACUUUCCUGAGCUCACACACACUAUUAUGUGGGGGAGUCACUUUAAAUGAAUUUUUCUUGAAAUCUAGUGUCACAGGAUCCUUAAGGUGUCACUUUUCCAGCCACAAGCCAAUGUGGCUAGUGGCACCUUUGCCUUAGUUUUACUCAGACCCACUGGACUUGUUCUUCCCACUCAUCCUGGAAGUCUGCACUUAGCUCAUGCUACUGGCCCAGAUCCCAUGCUUGCCAAGGGUGAGCUAGAUGCAUAGAGGCAAGAGGUAUGUGAGUGAGUGAGUGCAGGGUCCAGCCAUUGCACACAGCCAGGCAAGCUGGCAGCUGCAGAGGGGCGGGCAGCUCCAGGAGCUGGCAUAGGUGCCAGCUUCAUGCAAGCCUGCAGCUGGAUUAGAUGCACCACAAGCAGGUUCCAUUGUGGGCACCCACCUCUGGAUGAGGGGAACAUGGUGGCACUCAGAAGGUUGAAGACUCCAGAAAUCGCAGAGACCCCAAAGAGGGUGUCAUCUCGAGUGCACCACUCCCUGAGCUCCCAGAAGGGCCGCAGCUCUUCUUUCCUUCUCAUCACCCACAACUUGAUGAGUCGGGGAGCUGUGUUUCAGUCCUGUUUGUGUUACAGCUCUUUCAUUUGACAGGUCCUGAGUUCUUGGAAGUUCAGGAAGAAUGAUAACUAGAGAGUGAGCAAGGUGAAGGGCUGCUUUAUUGAGCAACAGUACAGCUCUCAGUACAGUACAGCUCUCAGUACAGUACAGCAACAGUACAGCUCUCAGGAGACCCAGAGUGGUUAGCUCCCAUCCACAGGCAGGUUGUCUGUGGCCCUCAGGGGAGAAGAGACCCAGUACCUCCUAUUUGCAGGCAGGUCAUCCUGACAUUUGUGGAGCCCUCAGCAGAGAGGAGUCCAGGAGUGGAUAGCUCCUUUCCCCAGGCAGGUCAUCCCAAUGUCUCUGUGAGUCUGGCUGAGUCCAGGAUUUUUAUAGGCUUCAGAAGGGAAGAAGUGAGUGCUGAUUGGUUUAUGGGUGGGCCUAGAAGGAGAGAGGGAGAGAGGGAAAGAAAGAGAGAGAUGGGAAAGACUGAAGGUCCUAUUGCUGCACCCUAAUGGGCAAUCAGGGACUGGAGUGGAAAGAAGGAUGGAAGGAAGGGAGGGAGGGAGGGAGGAAGGAAGGAAGGAAGGAAGGAAGGAAGGAAGGAAGGAAGGAAAAGAGAGAGAUGGGAAAGACUGAGGGUCCUAGUGCUACACCCUAAUGGGCAAUCAGGGACUGGAGGGG
rnacentral:lncRNA from 1 species